GUAGUCGUGGCCGAGUGGUUAAGGCGAUGGAUUUGAAAUCCAUUGGGUUCUUUCUGCGCAGGUUCGAUUCCUGCCGACUACG
rfam:Danio rerio chromosome 4, GRCz11 reference primary assembly.